rnacentral:misc_RNA from 1 species
GGCAAGGCUAAUAGCAAAACAAGUAAAACACCAUCACAUAAAACAGAGAAUUUAGCAUUUGCAGGCAAAAUGGCAAAAUACAUCAGACAGAUUUCAAUCAUGUAAUGGUAGAUGUAUAAAAAAGCUAGGACUCUAAUUUCAGCGAUAUCCAGAGGAUAUAAUAAUGAACUAUAUUAUCAUACCUGUCGCCUGUCAAAUAAUGCUGAUAGA